ACAUACCUACAACAUAGUGUUAAUGCAUCGGAUCCCAUUAAAAAUCCGUAGUUAAGCGUGCUCAGGAUAGAGUAGUACUGGGAUGGGUGACCGCUUGGGAAGUCCUCAUCUUUUACAUGCC
rnacentral:rRNA from 1 species